rnacentral:lncRNA from 1 species
GGAGCACCUUGUUGUGAUACGUAAUAUGUGGGGUUACGCAAUACGUACAGGGUGUACCGGAAGUGUCUGUGUAGUUGAACUAUGUUGAGCACCUAGUAAAGAAGUUCAAACCAACCUAUAAUGAAGUCCAGUAAUACUUCAUGGGGGCAGCGGUAAACAGCUACAGUAUCACCGCGUGAGUGUUCGUGACCAGUGAAGCGGAAACUUAUCAUGCCGCGAAGUCUAAUAACCUGGUUGCUGUAUAACGCGCGAAUCCACUCCACGACGCGAUCUCUUGUACACCAAUGUGGGACCGGGAAGAAGCGCAUUGUCUGCGUGAUAACUGCUAAAAGGUCCAGAGUAACUUGACGACAAAACACGGAAAAGUAAACAACUGCUUUUAAAGUGAGUACAAGAUAAACGCAACAAAAUGGCAUCACAUUUACCGAUGAUGAACUGGUCAGACCCCGAUUUGAGCGAAGCAAUGUCUUUAUUCAGACAAAAAAUUAAUCUGUACCUGGAGGAUGAAGAGAUAACAGAUGCAGAAAAGCAAGCUAGGAAAAUUUGUAGAGGAAUUGGAGAUGAAGGAUUGAAACGACUCAAUGCAAGUGGGCUCAGUGAUGCAGACAAGAAAAAGCCUGACACCUUGUGGCAUUUUUUUGAAGGACAACUAAAAUUAAAUGUGAACUUUAGAAUUCACAGGCUCCAUCUCAUGCAAUACAGGCAAAAACCAAAUGAGAGCAUUGAUGACUUUGUGACUAGAGCCAGAACUGUAGCACUAAAAUGCCAAUUUACCGAAGAGGAGCUUAAUGAACGUAUCGUUGAGCUCAUCAUUGCCAGUACUCCUUUUGGUGCUCUCCGAAAUGAUCUCUACAGCAAGCCCAAAGGCCACCCCAUUGCUGACGUACUAGCAGAGGGGAGAAAGUAUGAAGCCUUAGCAGCUGGAAACGAACAGAUACAACAGCUUGGCAUGUCAAACACUGAAAAGGUUCAUACUAUAACUAGAGGACGAACAUGUCAAAACUGUGACACAAACCACAAGCCAAGACAGUGUCCGGCAUACAAUGAUACAUGCUCUAUGUGUGGUAACAGAGGCCACUGGGGAAACUGUUGUAGAAAGAGCAGACGACAAAGACAGCCAUCCAACCAGCACAGAAGGAGUAAGUCACGAACACGCAACAGAUACCAAAGCCACAUCAACCCAAGGAAAGACUACAAACGCAAAGAUGAAACCAGCAUCGAUGUUGUACAUAGUAUUAAAGAUGAUGACGAGUAUGCAUACCAAAAACACUUUUACUCCAUCACUAUCAGUGCAAAGUGCAUGCACAGCAUCCAUGUGAAACCACCCAGGGAUGAGGCAUACACAACUCUGAAUGUUAAACCACCCUUCCUGCAAGGACAUGGAUACACGCUUCGCCUGAAAAUAGAUACCGGGGCAUCUGGAAACACACUUCCAUUUCGUACAUUCAAGCAGAUGUAUGGUACAUCGACACAAAGCAUGGAACAUCUUAAGCCAGCAUCCAAUGUAAAACUAACAUCAUACACUGGUGAUGUAAUUCCCUGCUUCGGAACUAUCAGCAUGCCAUGCCAGUACAAAGAAUCCAGAUGGAUAGAUGCAAAAUUUUACGUUGUUGAUGUACCUGGACCAGCUGUGGUUGGCCUACCCACAUGUGAGCUCCUCAGUCUUGUGACAGUAAAUGUUGAUGUGAUGGCGGAAAAAGGAAACAAUGUGAAGGUGGGAAGACAAACAAACGAGAGUACCCGACAACACAUAAAAAGCAUCAAAGAACUGAAAGAGAAAUACCCAGACCAAUUUGAUAAAAUAGGCAGUUUCAAAGGCACAGCAAAGCU